GCCAGCCCGCUCAGAAACUCAAAUGAAUUGACGGGGCCCGCACAAGCGGUGGAGCAUGUGGUUUAAUUCGAUGAUACGCGAGGAACCUUACCUGGGCUCAAAUGUAUGUUGACGUAUUCUGAAAGGGAUACUUCUUCGGACAAUAUACAAGGUGCUGCAUGGUUGUCGUCAGCUCGUGCCGUGAGGUGUCGGGUUAAGUCCCAUAACGAGCGCAACCCCUAUCAUUAGUUGCCAUCAGGUCAAGCUGGGGACUCUAAUGAAACUGCCUACGCAAGUAGUGAGGAAGGUGGGGAUGACGUCAAAUCAGCACGGCCCUUACGUCCAGGGCUACACACGUGCUACAAUGGCCGGUACAAUGAGUUGCGACCCUGCAAAGGUAAGCCAAUCUCAAAAAACCGGUCUCAGUUCGGAUUGCAGUCUGCAACUCGACUGCAUGAAGUUGGAAUCGCUAGUAAUCGUAGAUCAGCACGCUACGGUGAAUACGUUCCCGGGCCUU
rnacentral:rRNA from 1 species